GGGAGCGUAGCUCAGCUGGCAGAGCGCCAGUUUUACACACUGGAUGUCGUCGGUUCAAGCCCGGCCGCUCCCACCA
rnacentral:tRNA from 1 species